rnacentral:lncRNA from 1 species
CCCAAACCAGAACCACAUUGCCUUGAUGACUACAAAAGCAUUUCUCAUCAUAUUCAGAAAUGGAGUGGAGACUUGGGAUGUGUGACUGGCUUCCUUCCCACAAAGCCCAUGCGGAAGAAAACGGUUCCAAAACACAGGAAAAUCAAUGCUGUAUGAAUUCUGAGCAAGAGGCUGGCAACUUUCAGAUUUCUGCAAAUGUGCUUGACGGUGGACAUACAUAA